CCGCUCGCAGGCCCUGGCCCGGCGUGUGCUCCGCAGGCCUUGGGAGGAGCCAAAGCGCCUGACUUCGCUUAGUGGUGAAACUCUGAUGUUUAACCCUGACUGUUUUCCUUUGCUCCUAUCUUCCUACUUUUCUGAUUGAACGUGUUCUUUGUUGAAGUUUCUCUGCCAAAGGCCGGCGGAGCACAAGGCGGGAAAGACCACAGGGUCCUGCUCGGUUUCAGGCCCUCCCCGUCCCUCUGCCAAAUUCCCGCCGAGUCUCCAAACUCAGGAGUCUGAGGGUUUUUGGAAAUAUUUUACCCAUCAAGAUAAGAUAAAAUUUCUUUUGACGGGGGCGUUUGGUUUAUGUUUAGAAAAUCAGCAGAAUCCGAGCUGUUUGUAACAUCACAGACCUGUUGGCUAAAGGGCUUCAUAUCCUGAAAUCUGCUGAAAACGCAAGCGGUCUGUUUUGUGACACUGUGACUCUUGGCUUUCACGUUAUGUUUUUGUUUCCGAAAGUCUGAAGAGAGCGCCGGUUGGUGUUGCGUGUGUCAGCAGCACUUCGUUUCAACUGGCAACCGAAUUCCACGUUUAAUCGCUUUGGAUCAACCUGAGACCGUCCUGGUGGACUGCAGCCGGUCUGGUCACCCUCGGAUUAAUAAGACGUACACCUUUGAAAGGUAAGCUUCUUCGGGAUGACGGGGCAGCCACGUCACGCAGAGGUCAGCUCUGCCUCGCGGUUCGAUGGCGAAAAGGUACAGCUUGCCCCGUUGGUCUAAGUGCGAAGGAAAGGCCCUUAGUUCCGUGGAUGGAGCACUGUCUUUCCGCAAGUGUUGCUGGACGGCUGGCCGUCCACAGGCCACAGAGAAACGCGUCUUCACCCACGCAGCACACGCCUGUGGAAACGUUGCCUGAGAUGGAAACUAGGCCCAGAGAGGAUGCCUAAAACUGAAACCUUUGGAAGACAAUGUAGGAGGGAGGCUUUUGGCCUUGGGUUAAGGGAGGAAUUCUUAGAAACGCCACCUAAAGCAUGAUCCUUCAAAGAACUGAAAUUCAAACCUUCUGUC
rnacentral:lncRNA from 1 species